rnacentral:lncRNA from 1 species
CUCAUCCUACGCAAAGCCCCCAUGACCUCCUCCACCCUAAUGCGCCUGCAGUACCCAAGGUCUCUAUGUUGCUCUGAAUGCCCCAACUCCUCUAGAUCUAUGCUACGAUCCCCCUCCUCGUUAAGUAGGUCCCGAAAGUACGCCUGCCAUCUCUGUUUGAUUUGAGAUUCCCCUAUCAGAACUCUACCAUCCUCGCCCUUGAUACACCUAACUUGGUCUAGAUCACGUGCCUUCCUUUCCCUUGCUUUAGCUA